rnacentral:rRNA from 1 species
AUUGAACGCUGGCGGCAGGCUUAACACAUGCAAGUCGAGCGAGCGGCGGACGGGUGAGUAAUGUCUGGGAAACUGCCUCAUGGAAGGGGAUAACUACUGGACACGGUAGCUAAUACCGCAUACCAUCGGAUGUGCCCAGAUGGGAUUAGCUAGUGGGUUGGGUAAAGGAUCACCUAGGCGACGAUCCCUAGCUGGUCUGAGAGGAUGACAAGGACCACUGCAUCGGAGACACGGCCCAGACUACUACGGGAGGCAGCGGUGGAGAAAAGUGCACAGGGGGAGCAAGCUUGAUGCAGCCAUGCCGCGUGGAUGAAGGAGGCCUGCGGGUUGUAAAGGUCUAUCAGCGGGGAGGCUUUACCCGAAGAAGAAGCACCGGCUAACUCCGUGCCAGCAGCCGCGGUAAUUC